rfam:Schistosoma mansoni strain Puerto Rico chromosome 3, complete genome
AUUCGGCUGACGAGUCCCAAACAGGACGAAACGCGCGUCCUGGAU